CAGCCCCAUUCUUUUUCUAAUGUUAAGAAAGAUUCAUUCAAGACCAUUGCAAAAGGGGUACUGCAACAGGAGAGAGAGACUGAACUCAACUCUGAAUUCAGCAAUGACAACUGGGGAUUUACUGUCAACAAGAAGAGUCAGGGGAUCUGUGCAUGGAACAUUACUAAGAGGAGACAUCAAGGAUAGGAAGAUUCUUCCUAACUUGGCUUAAUAGAACUCUUGCUAAAGCCAGACCAAGGUCUUAUGCAACAUAGAAGAAGGAUGAAGGACUUGAUCCGAUAUCAAGGGUGGGAGGAUUCUUGCUAAACUGGGUUAUGCAGAAUUCUUACUAAGAUUGGACCAGGCAGGCCAAAGGCAGGACAGGACCAAGACCAGGCUCACAGGAGCUCGAUUUAAGUUUGGUCAUGGAGAGCGUCUUAGACAAUGUUUUUAGGCAUUGUUCCUGGGGGAGGGACUUCUUUAAUUUUUGAAAGUUAAAUCAAACUUGUCUUUGUAGAAAAUCUAACUGUAGCUCCACACCCUCCUGAGUUUUUAUGUCCUUCAGGAAAGGCCACUGUCACAGUGAUGGUAGGUGGGACCUGAUAUUCACUGAUGCCUGUUUUAUAUCAGGUCCUUUCUGUAUUGCCAUCACACCCAUAAUGGCCUUGUCCAGUAGGUAUUAUCAUCUCAUUUUACAGAAGAGCAUCCACAUAUCACUGUGGGCCCCCAGCUGACCCUCUGAGCUGCAGCGAGCAUGGCUCAGGUGUCUGGGCUCCUUUCACUCUGCUUUCCUACUUCAGCCAUGUCAAGGUGCUCCUUUCCACUCUUCUGUUAUGACCCAGCACAGGAGUAAUUAUCCAGGAAGCCUCCCCUGUCUCCCCAGAUUUCCUGUCUGGCCUCCAUGUCCCUGGGCUCCCCCUGUCCCACACCAUGGGUGUGUUUGUCAACGCUCCAUGUACGCACCAGUGGGCUGUCAUCGUCUGUUUACACAACAUCUCCCCCAUUGGACUCUGGACUCCUCAGAGUGAGAAUUGCACUUUAUUUAUCUUUGUGUUUUCCAGGCCUGGAAAACAAAUAUCUGUGGGAAAAAGGAAGGGAGGGAAGGAAGGAGAGGUGCGGGGAAAUUGAGCAGAUUCGAAAGUUUUAGUUUUUCUCAACGCAACAUAUUCAGGCUGAAUGGAGAAGCAUCAUUUCUCUUUUCCCAGUUCCUUAUUUUUUAUGAAUGUGAAGGUUUAUUUAUUAUUAAAGGCAUAUUAUUAUUUUAAAAUGAACUAGGUGCUCUGAGCAAGGCAAAGAAGGCUACAACAUGGUCUUUAUAUUCUUAGAUCUUAUAAUGGAGCUUGAGAGACACACUGGUUAUGUUAACUAAAUAAGGAGCUUAUGAUUCAGAAGGGGGAGAGUGGGAGACUUAGUUAUUAAGCAUCUGCGACAGGAUAAGAGCUGAGUUAUGUGCUUCACAUAUAUCGUCUCAUCCAAUCCUCACUCUGGUGCUGUGAGCACAACUGCCCUUGUUUUAUUAAAAAGGAGACCGAGGCUCAGGUUGGGAGGACAGUAGAACAAGCUGGUAGGAAAUAUGGACUCAGGUUUGUCAAAUUACCAAAGCUUCUUCUCCAUGAACUGAUUAGUGAACAGAAAUUAUGUGGGUUGCUAAGGGGUUGUAGAGGCAGGGAGAAGAUAUUUUGUUGAUCUCUCUCUCUCUCUUUUUUUUUUUUUUGGCAAUGCUGGGGAUCCAACUCAGGGCCUUGGGUAUGUUAGGAAAGCUUUCAACCACUGAACCACACCCCAGCUUCUCUGUGGAUCUUGCACCCAGAGUCUGCUUAGCUGCCAGUCUCAGGCUAUCUUGUGUUUUCAGGCCCUGAGCCUUCUUAAAACUGACAGAAUGGCUUUAGGGUUCGGCCUCAAUUGUGGAUGGGCUCUGGAAUUAGGCUCAAAGCCCAACCCGACACAUUGGAUGCCUGUCAGGAGCCCUGUGGCCUGCCCUCUCCUUUCUUGGUAUUAGCCCAAUAGAUACUUAUCCCUGAUGGAUUUUCAGGGUCCUACAGAGGCCUCAGCCUUGCCCUCAGCCUGCUUGGCUGAUGCCUUGAUCCUACAACUGAGGAUUGCCUCUGAUUAAAGGGGUAGGAAGAGCAAAAUCAUGUUAGCCCAAGUCAAGCAGUGAAACAAACCCCUCAAGUUAUGUCAAAUAGAGAGUUGGCUCUGUAUAGCUGUUGGAUGACCUGGAGAGCAAGGGGAAAAGCGGUGCUCCCUAUAGGUCAGUUACUGCUAGGAAGCCAUUACUGCUCUUAAGUCUAGAGAAGCAAAAGGGGGAGAGUGGAGGCUGCACUCCAGGAACAUUCCUGGAACCGAUGUCAAUACAACUCCUGGAAUCCAAGAGUCCACACUCCUGCAGAUGACAGAAGCCAAACAUGGUUUCUAUUUUCUUCCUAUCUUCUUGUGGCCCAUAUAUAUUUUCCAACUGCAGAACUAGACUGGAGCCCAGCUGACCUGGGGGUCUGCAAAAUGUAGCUCUCAUGUUUCUAUUUCUGAUGGUACAUGGAAUCAACCACAUUCAGCAUUGGAUGGAAAGAAUAGAAUCAUAUGGUUUAGGGUUCAAAUUUUGGCUUUUUCUUAAUGGGUCUUUUAGGAAAAUUAAUUCCAUCUCUCUCAAUUUUCUGAUCUAUAAAAUAGAAAUAAUGAUGAUACCUUUUUUUUAAUAGGAGCACUGUGAGGUUUGAUUGAAAUUAUAUAUACAAAGUGCUUAACACAGUCCCUAUCCGUGGUAAGAAAGCUACUGAUAACAUCAGGGUAUUUCAGUUCACUUCUCUUUUAUAUAAACACAAUCUUUUGUUUCUUGAACUUCUCAUCUCUCUUCGUAACUAUCACAAUUAGUGCUCAGUUUCACUGCCUGUGAGGGUUUUUUAAAAAGACCUAAAUCCUUUGAAGAUAUUGCACCUCUGCAGACACUUUUCCACCUACGCACCCCAGAAGUGGGAUCCUACCCAUGUUGUGCUUUUCCUCAUCUCUUUAUCUUUUUCUCUUGUGAUUCCAAGGAGGAGACUGAGGCCUAGAGAUAUUGGUGGUUUGGAUAACCUACCUUCUUCUUUCCUCCUCCUUCUGUUUCCAGUACCCCAUGGUAGGAUUUGGGGGGCAGGAAUGCUUGGGUGGUGCUCAGCUCUCUCAGCAUGUUUUCUGGGUGCCCACGACUGAUGGGCACAUAGCCAGGCAGCCACUGCCAAGCCCAUCCAGACUGGAGUCGACUCACGAGACUCACGCAGCUAGGAGGGGGUUGGCAGCAGGAAGAAGAUGGUGUGAGAAAAAGAACAUCUCAUGCUCCCCUUGCCCACGCAUGAGCCGCUCCUGGAGAAAUUGGAUCCAGCCACUUUAUUCUACUUUCUGGCUCUUCAAAUGCAUUAUUGGGCUAAUUCCAAUUCAAUCCUAUUUCACAUGGGUUUAUCAAGUAUUCACACAGGUGGGUCAGGCCCAGCGGCUGGCCUGGAGGAGCUCACAGUCUGCAGAGCCAGAUAUGGAAGAGCAAAGAUGACUGUUGAGUCAGUGGUAAGUCAAGGAGUCACAGGAGGCACAGAACAAGGGCAUCUGAUUGUGCCUGGGGAUCUGGGAAGAUGUCUAGAAGAAGUAGCUGACCCAAGACUAGAAAGGAGCAGAGUAGCUGGUUUGAUGGGGGAUUUGGAGAUGAUGACAGUGGCAGAGGGAUCCGAAUGUGCAAAAGCCAUUUGGGGAACUGAGAAAGGCUCAUGUGGCUGACACACAGGGCAAAAGCAACUGUGUGAAAUGGUGAGGCUGUGAGGGAUAGGACUGGGCUAAAUCAUACAGAUCCUUGUGAGUUAUUUCUGAGUCUGAACUUUAUCUUAGGAACAAUGGACAGUCACUAGUGGUUUUUUUAAGCGAAAUGUGACAUGCUAAAUCCAUGGUUCAGAAAGGACAUCCUGGGGCUAGAAAGAAGUAAGAGAGAACCCAACAGAAGACAGGGAGGCCACUGAGGAGGCUUUACCAUUUCUAGAAAGAAACAGUGGUGACCUUGACUAGGGCAGUAGUAUAACGAAUGGAGAGAGGGGCAGGUUUAUUCAUGAGUUACUUGGGAAGUAGAAGCAACCAAUGCAAUUACAGUAGCAAAGUAUUCUUGCCAUAUGCCAAGUGCCAUUUUAAGUGUUUGCCAUGUAAUUCAUUUAGUUCUUGCAAUAGCCCAAAGAAACAGGCUCAGAAAUGCAUUCAAGUUAUAUAUAUACCUAGCAAGUGGUAGCAUCAGGAUUUGAAUUCAUGGAGUUGAGCUCUAGAGUCCAGGCUCUCAAUCCUGCACUACAUUGAGUCUGUAGGUCACAGUGGUUGGUGGAUGAUUAAGUGUGGAGGUAAGGGUGAGGGAGAAGUCUAGCAUGAUUCAGGGGCAGAGUUGAGGAAGCUGAAGGAAACACAGCUGCAUACCUCUGCAGUGGGUGGCCACCUUCGUUCAGAUCCCAUUUUCUUUCUGGACCCAGCCUUUUGCCCUCAUCUUUCCUGGUUCCUCUGGAAGCCUUGACACUGUUCAGGACCGCUAGCUCCUGCCAGAUCCUGGGAGUUUAGGUUAGCAAACAUUUCCUCCCAAGGGGGUUUCUGAGAACACAGGGAUACUGCAGACAUGGUCCCUGUCAUUGACAGUCAUGGUGGGGACACAUCUGCUUCCUCUGUCUCCCAUCCCCCAACAUGUUCCAUUAUUUAACACCUCCUAUACUAUCCAUGGUGAAGGAUCUUUUAUUUUUCCAUUUCCAAUAUGCUAUAGACCAAUAUUUUUGUAGAAUACAGUAAAAAUGCCUCAGCAAUGUCAAACUUCUCUAAAGAUUUCUAUGUCCUUGUUCUCCCGUCUCCUGUUUUGUACCUGUCUGGCUGUGGACUGGUUACGAUUCGUGGAUCAGCCCCAGAUUGAAGAUCACUUUGUUGAGCACUGCCCAAGCCUCUAUCUCCAAUUUCACCACCACCACCCUGGACUAGGCCAUCAAAAUCAUUUUCCUGGACAUCUGCAGUAGCCUCCUACGUGGUUCACCCUCAUCCUCUCUGGUUCAUCCUAGGUUAGAACUGGAGGUGUUCUCUACCCUAUCGACCUGACCAAGUCAUGACCUCUAGCACUUCUCAUUGUCUUCAGGGUGGUUCCUGAGAUGCCCACUCCUACUUCUUCCUAUCUAUUUCAGCUCUCACUGUCCUCCUUAUUCACAUACACCAGGCUUCAAGUCAAUAUACUGCUAUAGGUUUUAUAAUGAACAUGCUCUCUCAUGCCCCAGGGCUCUAGCACAGGGGGUUCCCUCUAUGGAAUGCCUCCCCUCCCCCGGUUAAUUAGUUUAUUAAUUUUUUCAUUUAAUCAACUCUUACAGGACAGUCACUAUCAGCAAAGCCUUGUGCUAAGCAUGAGACUGCACCCACCCAGCCCCUUUCUCUUAGGAACUUAUGCUAUAACAGGGAAAGAGACAAGUACGUUGACAGUGAACAGUGUCAAAAUAAAGCACAGGGACAGAGAGAGGGUAGAGAGGGUCCUGUGACCCAGCCUGGUUCAGGAAAGGCUGCCUGGAGUAGAUAACACCUGGGCAGAUCACCAAAGAAUCAUUCUGAGUUAUCCAGGCAACCGUAGAGAUGGGGUGAAGAACGGUGAGCUGGGCCAAGCUUUUACAGGGCUCAGAAGUGCCUGCCAGGGAAGGGGAGAGGGGAAUGACAAGAGUUUCUCACACACACACAAAAAAUAAGAGUUUCUCUCAUUGCCCAACUGGGCUUUACCAGGCUACAGUCAGGUACUGGAUAGUCCACACAUAAAUAUAUACUUACAGACUGAAGUGCACACAGAUGUACAAACAUUCAUGGAUUACUUUGAAAAUGUUAAGCUAAGUGAAGGGAUCCAGACACGAAAGUCACAUGUUAUAUGAUUCCAUUUAUAUAAAAUACCCAGAAUAGGUAAAUCCACAGAGACAGAAAAUAGAUCAGUAGUUGCCAGGGACAGGGGGAAGGAGGAAUGUGGAGUGACUGCUUAAUGGGUACACAGUUUCCUCUCAGGGAGAUGAUAAUGCUUUGGAAUUAGAUGGCAGUGACGGUUGUGUCACACUGUGAAUGUACUAAGUGCUAUGGAAUUAUAUGCUUAAAAAUGGUUAAUGUAGCUGGGUGUGGUGGCACAUGCCUGUAAUUCCAGCAGCUGGGGAGGCUGAGGCAGGAGGAUGGAAAAUUCAAAACCAGCCUCAGCAAAAGCAAGGUGCUAAGCAACUCAGUGAGACCCUGUCUCUAAAUAGGGCUGGGGAUGUGGCUCAGCGGUUGAGUGCCCUUGAGUUCAAACCCUGGUACCUCCCUCCCAAAUUAUUAAUGUAUGUUAUGUAAAUUUUGCCUCAAUUAAAAAAAUACAGACACUCAUAGACAUAUUCACUAAACAAACACCUACCUUGGUCCAGGCCCUGAACAAACACUAAAGAUUCAGCGAUAGUUCAUGCCCCUGAAAGUCCCACCCCUGUGAAUGAAAACACACUAUGUGAACCCAGACAACAGAAGUACAUGCUUCAUGAAAGUAUGCAGGCACAUUCAUAUAUUUAUUUAAUAAAUAUUUAUUGAGUACCUACUAUGUGUCAGGCAAUUGGCCAGAUACUGGGCCUCCAUCAGUGAACAAAUAGGGGUAAUGACUGUCCUUGUGGCCUAUGGACACAAACGCAUAGUGACCUACAGAUACAUAUCCAGAUUGAAGUUCACAAACACAAAUGUACCCAAACAAGGACACAGCCAAAGCCCACCAGCCAAAUAUGUGUUGAGUGAAAGAAAUGAGCAAUAGCACACAGACAGGCAGGCACGUCCCCUCACGCUCCCUGACAGACACACUUCUCUCAUACAAUCAAUGGAAGUUCCAUUAAAAGUCAGAUUAAAACUGGCUGGGGAUUUCAGUGCCUUCUUGGGAGAGAGGAAUAAACAGGCCUCGGUAGAAAGGCCUGGAGCGUUGAGAAAAAAAAAAAAAUCUCCAAGUCUCACUUAAGUGAUUUUUGGCAGAAAUCAAAUUAACGGCAGGACUAUGGACUGCUGACAAGGUGCUCCAUCAUGCUCUGCUGUGUGAAUGUGUUUCUUCUACAUGUUGUUUUCAUUAGCACUUCAUUUGAUAAUGAUAAAUGGCAUUUUCAUUUGAAAGGAAAAUAUUAAAAAGUUCUGAUUUGCAAGAGCAAGUUAGAAUAAAUGAUAUUAUUAUGUCCUGUCACUUGUUCAGCUUAGAGAAAAAUAAUAAUAAUGAUAAUAAAAAACCCCAACAGCUUUCCCUGCUGAAGAAACACAAGCAUUUUAUUUCUCCAGUGGGCCAUUUUCUUGCCAUCAAAUCUGUCUUUGACACAGAGACUGCUGAAAGGCAAUGGUCUUGGAUGAUGGGGGAGACAUUGUAGAUAUGUCAAAGGCCAUCAGGAGAGGGGGACCUUGAUUCUCUUAAGGAAUAGCAGAAGAAGAGAUCGAUCUUUGGCUGAAACUCUGAUGGGGGUUGGAAUGAACUUUCUUGCCUUUGGGUCAAAUUUCAGAAAAUUUUCUCCACCCUUUAUGGAAGCCUGGUCUCUUAAAAGCUUACUGUAAAGACUCCAGGAUCAUUAUCAUGUUUGACAAAAUCACUGCCUAGCUCCACACCCAUUAAAGGAUUCCUCAUCACCCACGGUAUAAAGUCGUAACUCUUUAACUUGACAUCCAACACCCUUGGUGACUUUGCUCCUGCCUCCAGCUUCAACCAUCCCCCGACACUUACUUUAUGCUCUAGUUACAAUGAACUUCAUACAACUCCCUGCAUAUGCUUUCUGUUUUACCCAGAUUUCACAUAACACCCCUUGAUUGCUCAAGGAGUGAUCUACUUAUUCCAAGAUCUGGCUCAAACAUCUCCCUAUGAGAUCUUAUUUGAGUCCUCCUCUGUAAGGGCCCUCUUUCCUUUGUUCCCAAACCCUGCUUUUACAUAAGUUCUCUGAGUACUCCCAGGUCCAGCACAGGUUCUGCUCAAAGAAAGAAGCAGCCAGUAUUAAUCAAGUGAGUGAACCAUGGCAAGAUGGUCUUUCUAAGAAGGGUGUGCCAUCUAAACUUACACAGAACUUGUAAAAAUUAAGGCCAGGGCGAGUCAAUUGGAGAAAGUUUUUCCUAGUGUUUCUUUGUAUCCGUAACAUAAACUUUCUUUUCUCUAGAGGUGAAUCAGAGUCAAAUAAGCUUGUUUGAAAGCCCAGCACAUCUUGGAAGGGUCGAUGGCAUUAGCAUGCAUUGGGAGAUUUCCAAUGUCUGGCCUCAGCCCAGGUGAUUGAUGAAUCUCCCUCUUUUCCUUUGCUGCGGAAGGAGCCUGGCACGACAGGAAAGGGAUAAGUAUCUGCUGCCUAAGGAGGAGAAUCUACUGCUGGAAGCCAUGCACUCUCCUGCUAUAAAUGCAUAAAGAGAAGAGUCACAUUUUAUACAGGGUUUGGUUCUAAAGACAGUCUGUAAAGCAAAAAUCACAGGCUUUCAAGACUGUUCACAAAUCUCUGCUCAGACAUCCCAGUGGUCACCUGUUUGACUUAAGAGAAAAAGUGCAAGCAUUGCAGGGGCCCCUGGAGCCUUUAUUCAUCAGAGUCCAGUUGGGAAACAAAGUCCACAACAGCAAUUCCUAUCUCUGCACGUGACUUGUCAGGGGAACUUUUCUCUGAUGCUCACACGACUCGGGAACUUGUCACAUCUUCCAUCUCUGGGAACGUCCUCACCUGAAAUUGAAAGUGAAAGCCAGUGUCAAGAAAGAGCCUCCAUUAUCCUGGGUCCCGCCAGCAGCUACAAUGAACAAAGCCUCCCUGCUGAUCCACAGUGGAAAUCUAAUGAGAAAUUAGAUUCUAGUCUUCAAUGUGAAUCUUCCCGUGUGCUGCUCUUCAUCCUUUCCCUAUCAGGGUACCUCACUCAAUGCCUUUCAUCUGGUUCCCUGAAUACUUGCAACCUCUUAUCCCUGUUGCCUUCAUAGGUGACCUUCUCCCUAGGCUUAGAUUAGUUCUAGAAGAGGAAAUAUGUGGCCUGUGAGAGAGAAUCAGAGUAUACGACAUGACUACAUCCCCAGCCACUAUCCCCACUGAAGUUACUGUGGUCCCAUAAAAACCUCCGAUGUGAUCCCUCUUUUCCCUGUCUGUUGGCCAGAUAGAGAUGAGUGCAGGGCCUUCAGUUUUGGCGGAACCAGCCAUAGGAUAGCAGUUUCCCCUUGGAGGAGAACUCACUCCUCAGGAACACCCAUGAACACAUUGUGUAGAUGGGAAAUAAACAUCUAUGUGUUAAGCUGUUGUAGUGUGUGUGUACGCACAUGUGUGUUUCUGUUAUAGCAGCUAGUAGAUUCCUUUACUCAGUGAUCUCAAGCUUUAGCAUGCACCAAACUCACCAACAAAGCUUGAUAAAACACAAAUUGCUGGGCCCUACUCCAAAUUUCUGAUUAUUUCUGGGAUAGGGCCUGGGGUUUGUAUUUUAUUUUUGCAUUGCUAGGGCUUGAAUCCAGGGCCUUGCAUAUGCUAGGAAAGUGCUCUACUAAGCUACACACUUGGUUCAGAGAUGUAGUAUUUUUAACAAGUUGCUAAUGUUGAUGCUGCUGGUCCUGGGACCACAUUCUGAGAACCACUCUUUUACACCAGGAUAAAUGAUUUGACUUUGUAAGAGGAAUAACCUUGGGUCUCCUGUCAAUAUGGCAUAAGCUGAAUAAGAAAGGACCUUGGUUAGAUGAUGAUGAUGUGGUGAGGAUGACAACAAUGAAAAUAAUGAAGGGCAACAUUUAUUAGGUAGUCACUAUAUGCUGUAUUCUAAAUCACCCAAUACUCUCAACAACCCAAGAAGUUAAGUAGAGCUCUUAAGUUUCCAUCUGUGAAGGGCAAGUGUUCCUAUGGUGAAGGAGCCUUUGAUGUCCCCUUCCCCAGACUCUGGAAGAGAAGAAAGGAGGAAAAUAUCCCUGGGAGAGGCUGUGGGACUUAGUAGAAAGAGUACAUAGAGCUUUGGAGUCAAGAGAAACUGGGCUGGAAUUCCAACUUCUUCGCAGACAAGCUGUUGGUGCUGUAAAAGUCACAUGAUUCUCUGCAUCUCAGAUUCUUUAUCUGUAGAGAAGGAAAAAUACUAUGCAGUUCAAAGGAGUGUUAGUUACAGAUUAUGUGGUAAAGACCCUCGGUUUAUACUCUUGAAAGGCAGCCCUGAUUAUUGCCUUUGCUUUGAGCUCCCGGACCCCAUCCCUGGGCCAGGCCUGACUAUAUUAGCACGUGGAAGUCCUUUUCCCUCAGCUGCUCCACUGUCUCUUGAGCAGCCCAAGCCACUGUGUGACGAUGGAGGGAGAAAUGCAGCUUCUGCUUCUACCAGUCUGUUCAGCUGGUUGCUGGCCUGGAACUCCAGCCUGGCUCUCCAAGAUUGCCCAGGUGCGUGGGCCAGCUGGCCUGAAUCAGAUGCCCUGUUCCUUUUGUAACCUUUCUUGGAGCUGUCCUGACCUUGGGAGCGGUGGCUGCAGUCUCACCAAGGUUUAUAUUUAACUCUCCCUGAACACAGAUGAGGCCCAGCCUCAACAGAAGGAGAAGAUGGAGUGAGAGUUAACAGCUGGAAUCUUGGCUGGAAACCUUCAGGCGUCAACUGUAGAAAAAUGGCUCCUGCCUGUUAGAACUAUUUUAAUGUCUUUACAUUAAGAAAAAAAAACAUUUCUAACUUUCCCUUUUGUUUGGUUCUUGGUCUUUAUCAAUCUACAUUGACCUUCAAGGUUUGUCAAUGACACCUCUGAAGGUCCCUGAUUGAUUUCACUUGAAUCUCAAGGCAAUAGUGCUAUGUAAGCAGAUGAAAAAUGCUUAUGGAUGUAGAGUUCAGAGAGGGACAGAUACUUGCUAAAGAUCACAAAGUUUAACCCUGACAGAAAAGGGGAUCUGAAUCCUCAGGUCUUAACAUUAUUCUAUAUUCUUUAUGCAAAAAGUUGACAUGGCAAAUGAAAUCAGUGGCCUUCUUAUAAAAUUCACACUCCUUACGAGGUUCCCCAAAGCUCCUGUCAGCUCCCCAUCAAUAUUCUUUUCCUGGCACUUUCCAUGGAGUUCUUUCUGAUCCUUCAGGUCUAGUUUCAAAGUCAUCUUCUCAGGGAAAAGACCUCUACCCUGUCUACGUAGAGCCUCUCUGUUAUUUUCUCCCAUAGCACCUUCUUUCCUAGCCUUUAUCACAGUAUGUAAUUAUUUUACUUAUUGAAAGAAUAGAUGUUGAAUGAUUUUGUAUUCAAGUCAUUUAAUUAUUCCUUUAUUCAGCAAGUAUUUAUUGAACACCUACUAAGGUCCAGGUGCUCUUUUGGGUAUUGAGGUUAUAAUAGUGAAGAAAACAUACAAAUCUCUUCCUGAUGGGGAAGUCUUUUUAGAGGAUGGAAGGCUAAAAGAAUGGAAUUAAGUGUAUCUUCAAGGGUUUGGGCUUGAGCCACAGGAAGGAUGGUGCUUCCUUUUGCUGAGAAGAGAGCAGGAUGGGUGGUUGGAUGAGAGACCAGAAUUAAUUUUUUUUUUUCCUGUUGAAUGAGAUGCCCCUUAGACAGCCAAGGGGAGAUGUCAACUAUGCAAUAGAACACAUGUCUCCAGAGGUCAGGAGAGAUCUGGGCUGGAAUAUAUAUUUGGGAGUCAUCCAAGAAUAAAUUAUAUUAAAAGAGACAACAUUAGAUGAGUAACCCAGGAGAAUAAUGUAGUUAGGUAAGAGGUCCAAGAACUCAGCCUCCAACAUUUAGAGAGGAGGAAGCUGAGAUGGCUGGAAAGGGAGGAAGAAUAUGUGGUAACUGGGGAAUCCCGGAAGGCAAGUGAAGGAGGCAUUGCAGGGGUAGAUCGUGACUAACCCGAUCAAAUGCUGCUGCAAGAUUGAAAAGGAUGAGGACCCAGAAUUGCCUGUUGGAUUUAGCCAUGAGGAGAACACUGGUAACCUUGACAAGAACAUUUUGAGAAGAAGAUCUAAAGAGAGCGUUCAAAGGAGAAUGGGGAGAGAAUCUAGGCAGUGACAAUCAUGACUCUUCUAAGAAGUUUUCGUCGGGGGAGUGAGAAAUGGGAUAGUAAUUGGAAUUAAAGCAAAGAGGGGUUUUAUUUUUAAGAUGGGAAAAGUAAUAUUUGUGUGCUUAUGGGACUGACCUGGUAGAAAGUGAAAAUCCAGUGUUGCAGGACAAGAGAGUCACACAGCGGUGUGAAGAGAGGUCACUCCUGGGUUCCUGAGUAGGUGAGAGGGUGGGUUCCAACACACAGGUGGAAGAAGGGCAAUGAACGGUUUGUUCAGGGCAACAGGAAAGAAGGUGGAGGUUUGGGUCUGUCUGUUAAGGUCUGUAGACAAGUCAAAAUAACACGUGGUAUUUUGCCAGAGAAAUGUUAGAGUUCCUAAACAAGUCUGGA